UCGGGAAUUUUGGGCAAUGGGCGAAAGCCUGACCCAGCAACGCCGCGUGGAUGAUGAAGGCCUUAGGGUUGUAAAAUCCUUUCGCCGAGGACGAUAAUGACGGUACUCGGAGAAGAAGCUCCGGCUAACUUCGUGCCAGCAGCCGCGGUAAUACGAAGGGGGCUAGCGUUGUUCGGAUUUACUGGGCGUAAAGCGCGUGUAGGCGGGUCGUUAAGUUGGGGGUGAAAUCCCGAGGCUCAACCUCGGAACUGCCUUCAAAACUGGCGACCUGGACCUAAGUAGAGGCAAGUGGAAUUGCGAGUGUAGAGGUGAAAUUCGUAGAUAUUCGCAGGAACACCAGUGGCGAAGGCGACUUGCUGGACUUAUGGUGACGCUGAGACGCGAAAGCGUGGGGAGCAAACAGGAUUAGAUACCCCGGUAGUCCCUGAGCGGGCUGGCAAGGCGCAU
rnacentral:rRNA from 1 species